rnacentral:rRNA from 1 species
GAUGAACGCUAGCUACAGGCUUAACACAUGCAAGUCGCGGGGCAGCAUGGGGGUUGCUUGCAAUCCCCGAUGGCGACCGGCGCACGGGUGAGUAACGCGUAUCCAACCUGCCCUUCACCACGGGAUAACCCGGCGAAAGUCGGACUAAUACCGUAUGUUUUCCAUUGACGGCAUCCGAUUUGGACGAAAGGCUUGGCGGUGAGGGAUGGGGAUGCGUCCGAUUAGCCAGACGGCGGGGUCACGGCCCACCGUGGCUACGAUCGGUAGGGGUUCUGAGAGGAGGGUCCCCCACACUGGAACUGAGACACGGUCCAGACUCCUACGGGAGGCAGCAGUGAGGAAUAUUGGGCAAUGGGCGUAAGCCUGAACCAGCCAAGUAGCGUGCAGGAGGACGGCCCUAUGGGUUGUAAACUGCUUUUAUGCGGGGAUAAAGUGGCCCACGUGUGGGCUUUUGCAGGUACCGCAUGAAUAAGGACCGGCUAAUUCCGUG